AGUGAACGCUGGCGGUAGGCCUAACACAUGCAAGUCGAACGGCAGCACAGGAGAGCUUGCUCUCUGGGUGGCGAGUGGCGGACGGGUGAGGAAUACAUCGGAAUCUACUCUGUCGUGGGGGAUAACGUAGGGAAACUUACGCUAAUACCGCAUACGACCUACGGGUGAAAGCAGGGGACCUUCGGGCCUUGCGCGAUUGAAUGAGCCGGUGUCGGAUUAGCUAGUUGGCGGGGUAAAGGCCCACCAAGGCGACGAUACGUAGCUGGUCUGAGAGGAUGAUCAGCCACACUGGAACUGAGACACGGUCCAGACUCCUACGGGAGGCAGCAGUGGGGAAUAUUGGACAAUGGGCGCAAGCCUGAUCCAGCCAUACCGCGUGGGUGAAGAAGGCCUUCGGGUUGUAAAGCCCUUUUGUUGGGAAAGAAAUCCAGCUGGCUAAUACCCGGUUGGGAUGACGGUACCCAAGAAUAAGCACCGGCUAACUUCGUGCCAGCCGCCGCCGUAA
rnacentral:rRNA from 1 species